AAAACAGUUGGGCGGAGCUCCAGCGGAGUAGGGAGGUUCAUAAAUCUGUGUUCAUAUUGUCGCGGGACCGCGCAGGAGUACGCGAUACUUUUUCAGCCUCUUUUCGGAAAUUUACCAUCAAACUGAAGGGUGGAGAAGGACGGACGUGAAUAAAAAAAGGAUGGGUUAAUUUUUUGUGGAGCCUCCCGGGCGGAGAAAUGCCAAAUGAAGGGCGUCUGCCUCGGUUUUUCCAGCGUGUUUUUCCUAACAGGUAGCCAGCGGGCAGCCUCGGAGGCGGCUCCGGAGCGAGGCUGAAUAUCCCGCUUUGUAAUCGUCUGACAGCUUGUUAAAACCAUCUUUUUUUUUCAUCGGCGGGGGGCAUCUGGAGGAGCCCCCACUCUGGACCGAACCAUGGACGGCGGGGUUGAUCGAUCUUCCGGGGCGGCUGUCCUGAAUUUUCUAACAGAUUUCAGGCGCUGACAUGAAGAAGGAGGACGGCGUGGAUUAGGAUCCUUUCCCCCCUUUUUCCCUCCACUUUUUUCUCUUUGGAACUCCAUUCUCCUGACUUCAAUGUGGGCUCUGAAGGACUCCUGCCCCCAUCUGUGGUUUGGAAUGAAAUGAUGGCGGCGCGUUGGAGUAACUCAGGGCGGGACAAUAAGGAGAACAAGCAUGCUGUCCUGACUCCUCCUUGCCAGGCCAAACAGAAAGAU